rfam:Brachypodium distachyon strain Bd21 chromosome 3, whole genome shotgun sequence.
UAUAUACUCCCAACGUUCAACGAAAGAUGUCUCAAGUUUGUUAAAAUUUAGAUGUAUCUAGACAUGACUUGGUGUAUAGAUGCAUUCAAAUUUAGUCAAAGUUGAGACAUCCUUUGUUGGACGAAGGGAGUAGUAU